rnacentral:lncRNA from 1 species
CCCUGAGCUAACUACUGCCAAUCUUCCUCUUUUUGCUGAGCAAGACUGGCCCUGAGCUAACAUCUAUGCCCAUCUUCCUCUACUUUAUAUGUGGGACGCCUGCCACAGCACGGCUCGCCAAGUGGUGCCAUGUCUGCAUCCGGGAUCUGAACCCAUGAACCCCAGGCCGCCGAGAAGCGAAACAUGCAAACUUAACUGCUGCACCACCGGGCUGGCCCCCCCUUUUCUUAAAGAAUGAGAACACAGAGGUUUAGAGAGCUUAACUGUCUUGCCCAAGGUAGGUGUCAUCUACCUUGUUCAUUACUGUCUCUCCAGGACCAAGAAUAGUGUCUGGCAUAUAAUACAUAAUCAACAAAUAUCUAUUGAUUGCGUAGAAUGUCAGAUUCCAAGCUUAUGUGCUUAGCUCUUCUGCCAGGACUUCUUGACCUCUUUCAACACAUGGCCUCAGUCAUACUUUCUUAUUCUGUUAUCUGUAUGUUGGCCCAACCAAGAAUGUAUCGUGGAUCAUCAUUUGCUUUAAAUUUGUGUUACAAAAACUGUAGGUAUCUUAAAUGUUUUUUCAAAGUUCAUCUGCUCCUGGAGAGUCUGCUAUGCUUUUAAACGCCUAUUCCCUUCUCCUUCCUCACAGCUCCCGUAAGAUGUAAGGUCUCUACCAUCCAAAUGGCAUUUAACAAAAUAUUGCUUUUUGUUGCAGGAACUUGAACACACAUCUCCCCUUCACUAUUAGAUAGAUGCUGACUGAUCAGUAUCACUCUCUGAAGCAUACAUUGCUAAACCCUGGCCUCAAUAAGCUAAAUGUCUAGAGAUAAUUGCUCUUCUGCCAACACAUUCAAUAACUUGACAAUCUGGACCAAAGUAGAUGUCUGAACCUUGCAGCCCUCCUGGUUUCCCUCAUAUAAGCGUCCUGUUGCCCAUAGUGACAAGAACUGGUCAAAGAAUGAUCACGAUAGGGAAACAGAGGCUGGAGAUGGAUGGGACUUGCCUUAGAGGAGGAUGGAUAAAUGGCUUGGACCGUACAAAUGGAAGGUAGGUGAGACUAGAGACCACAAAAUCAGUUCAGCAGCAAAUCAAGG